UACGCAGGGUGCAAGCGUUAAUCGGAAUUACUGGGCGUAAAGCGUGCGCAGGCGGUUUUGUAAGUCUGUCGUGAAAUCCCCGGGCUUAACCUGGGAAUGGCGAUGGAGACUGCAAGGCUAGAGUUUGGCAGAGGGGGGUAGAAUUCCACGUGUAGCAGUGAAAUGCGUAGAGAUGUGGAGGAACACCGAUGGCGAAGGCAGCCCCCUGGGUCAAAACUGACGCUCAUGCACGAAAGCGUGGGGAGCAAACAGG
rnacentral:rRNA from 1 species